UGUCUAAAAGGGUGGACAGAAGGUCUUGAGUUCUAAACAUACACCACAAUGUGCUGUGUAGCUGACAACAGACAUCUAUAUAACCAAGUGACCUAGAGCUUUACAUAUCAUUGGUUGGUUGCUUCAGCAAAGUUUUUUUGACAGACUCUGGGCCAAUUUCAAAGAUGGCAGAAAAGAGGAAGUCUCCAACAUGCUGGUUCAGUCUGCCCAUGUGUGUGGAAGAGGGUUGAAUGCUGCCUUGGUCACUGUCACCUUGUGUGAUUCUCUGGAUACUUCUGGAACCCUCUAGAAUUCCAUUAGAGCUCCACGUAGAAAAUUUCUCCUUGACAUUUUUAUACAUUGGGCAGAUCAGCAAAAAGUGCUGAGCAAUUUUUUCCACUGAUGAUUUCAGAAUACAAAGUCAUGUCAUUGCUAGAUUUACGCUGAUAACGCUACUUAAGCACCAUACUCUAGAUAAUCUUUGAGCAUUUGUGGUUCCUGCUUUGAACUGCUCAAGUCUAAUUAACAGAUCUGAGUGAUGGAUAAAUUGCUAAUAAAAUUCAA